UUUUUCCACUGUUCAUACAUCUUUGACCUGUGACAAUUUAAUGUCAUUUUGAGGUAGAUAUGUUUAAUGCAUGAUGACACUGAAAAGGUUUUUUUGACAGACUGAGACUUUUGUCCAUAAUUAACCUUCCCUUUUGAUUUUUUGAUAGAAUGGAUUUAUUAAUAUGUUUGAUGACACUGUAAAAUUCAUGUCAGUAUCUUGUUCUUUUUCUAUUUUUUGACCUUUGGGGUUACAUGGAUUUGCAUUGUUAUAUUGUGUGUGUGUGUAUAUUCUGACUGGUGACGCAUGUGCUUUGUGUUAGUUCAAGGUGCUCAUCAGUCAAACCAAUCUCUGUAGUCCUCUGAUUGGAUGAUUGAGGCAGCCCCUACAUGGAAGUAUCGUGAUGCUGCCCAUAUACCUGAUGAAAGUCGGACAGAGUGAAACGUUGUGAUCUAAUAAAUAUUUCAGCAGUUUUCAGAAUAAUUUAGCAGAGAGAAGGCAAAUGUGGAGGAUCACCCUUUUACACCCGUCAAGGCACUGAUGCAGGGCAGUCAGUCUGUAUGGUCUGUGCUUGUGCAAGAGAAGGUGGCAUCCGAAGACAGCCGAGAGAUCCGUGAGACAGCAGGUCCAGCACCAGUAUGCUCGGCACCCUGAGGGCGACGUUGGCCAACUCUUCCAGACGAGGCAUCUUGAAACCAACUUUUUUGGAUUCCUGCUGUGGUGUCUGCGUGUGAUGGGAUGCAGGUGGGCUGGGGCUAAUUGAAUGAUUGUGACUGUGUGAGUGUGUGUGUGUGUGUGUGUUGUUCCGGGGAGCUGAUUGAUUCCAGCCUCUAAAACUUGCUCGUUUUGGGACCAGCUUCUUCCAGCUCCUGCAGGCUCAUCUCUCUCCACUUCCAACCAACAUGUUUCGAUGUUGUAUGUAGUUUUGACUAUGCAAAAUACCAGCCCAGGUUUUGUAGGGGUGGGUAGCAAUGUAAUCCUGUAUGUAAUCCUAUUUUUUCUUUUGUCAAGUUAGGAGUUAGGUUAGUGGCUUGUCUUUUUGUUCUUGUUUUGUUUGAGUAGGUAAGUUUACGUUCCUCAGCUUUAGUUCACUUCUGUUUGUUAUUUAGCUGUUAACUCACCCUGAAGCCUAAAAAGAUUCUAAA